GUGUGUGUGUGCUUGUGUGAGUGUACUAUAUCUGUGGAGCCUGUGAAAAGAAGAAUCUUUACCUGUCCCAAUGCAGUGUGUGCACCCUUCUUGCUUAUGCCACAUCCUCCUCCUACUCCCAUGAGUGUAAUUUUUUCAGAGUCAGAACAGCGGGCGAUUGGCACCACCGUACCAAGGCGUCGGAGACAACAGCCUGUUCGGAAUGAGUCACCGGAACCACAGAUAUGCGUGUUGCCUCCGAGAGGAUCCCCUUCCAACACUACGUUUCAUCUGAGGAUGAAUAUAAGAAAUGACACCAGGAAGAGACUGAAGCACAUUUUUGAUGCGUUGUUCUUCAGCAGGACCUCAAUGGGGUAAUGGUCACUCACCUUGCACGCCUGAUUAAAAAAUAAAAAAAAAUAUGUUAGUGUGAUUCAAUUGUUAUUUUUACAUAUGUGUCCUCUGUGCGUGUGCACUUCUUGCCUAAAGUCAGCUUGGAUAGGUAGCCGCAUACUUGCAACAGAAACAGAAAUGAACAGAAAACGUUUAAAGGGACAUUUUCCUCUCUUGAAGAGCUGUGGUAUGACUAGGUGGUGCAGUGGCCAAUACAUAACACAAUAACAUUAUUAUUGUUAUAAAAAUAACCGAUAGCAUGAUUAUGUGAUAGAAAUCUCACGCGUUUUCAUUUAGCACUCCGAACCCUCGCACAUACCUGUCAAGUUGUACGGUUUCGGCGUAAUUUGUACAAGUGAGCACUGAUUUUUAAAUGUGUACGACGUACGUUCAAAAUCUGUACGUUUUUCGUGCAUUACGUUUUUUUUUUCUCCAUUCGUAUUUUGCCACCGUUUCGGCAAUGAGAGAAUGCGCGUUACUAUGCGUUACUACGUUGGUUGAAUGACGCGAGAAAAGUCAGAGACAUGGAGAGAGAGAAGAGUGUUUGUUGUGACGCUGUAGCAAACGCGAUGCUAGGCUAGGUGGCUCCAAUAUUUCCUGACUGUAGCCGACAGCCUACAAUCUACGCCUAGAUGUCACAUGCAUAUAGAGCUACAUGCGAAAUGACAGACUCGGAGGCGUUAGUAAACAGCCGCCAUUUUAGAGCAGUAAACUUCUCAGAAAGGCUCUGUUGUAGUGAACCUUCCUAGCGAGCCUAACUAACUUUUCAUCUAAAAUACUCAUAAAUCGGCAAAAUCUUGACUUGAAUCUAUCUUUAAAUGAUGAAACAGUUUUAAAACUUUCACAUGUCGAAAGUAGACUGAAGGGAACUAAUGCAAAAACGGGAGCACAAAAACGGAACACAAUUUACCCGCAACUAUUGCUGAUCACUUCUCAGAAUUAGCAAAAGAAAUGUUCCCUGACUCAAAGAUUGCAUCAGUACCGGUAAGUUAAUUUUAUCAAUUGACCUAUUUAAUUUAUAGUUGGACACACUAACGAACUACCUUCAAGUCAAGCUGAAUUGCGAGCUGAAGUGCCAUGAAGUGCAGCCAUCAAAAGACAUGAUUGAAAUUGCCAAAAGUGCUACAUACAAUUAUAACAAAAGUCACUGUUAAAUUUUAGUAAUCAUGAUGUAGCUGAAGAUAUUGUUCUUUGAUCGCACCAGGUUAUUUGUUACAAUGUUACCAAUAAAUUCAUAUUAUUUUUAAAAUCGAGUUUUAUUUUUAUUUCAUAUUGCACUCUAUAUACAACGUUGUAAGAUUAGUCACCAAUUUGUAAGGGCAUAUGUCACUAUUUGUAAGAUUGCCAACAGCCUCGGGUUGACAGGUAUGCUAGCACCGCCCACAAAUGCAAGUCUGUGACGUCAUUUUGCUACUGUAAAAAAGGUCAAUUGCUGUUUAGGAUUCAGAGGAAAACAGUUUACAAAGAAAGUUGGAAAGAAAGGGGUAUAAUUUAUUUUUCGGAUUUGUUUUAAAGUAAUGGUAAUGUGUAUUCAGAAGCAAAUUUUAUGAAAGCGAAAUCGUUGCCAUUAAGAUUUAAAGAAUUUAAUUGUGUUGUAAAGGCUAUUCCUCUGUGUCUACUCAAAAUGAUGAAGUGACAUCUUUCAUAUAAAAAAUUAAGAUUCAAAUGCCAUCUCGGUCUCUCACAAUUGGAUGAAUUUGUGUACUAGAUAGAAAAUGUACAAACAAGCAUAUUAGGAAUACCCUUCAUAGUUAUUAUGAAAUUUCUCCUACAGGGAAAUUCUUUUGAAAUUAUUGAUGAUAUUAACUGGCGUAAAGCUUGGUUGUACCCCUUUCAAUUUGUCAUUUCAAGUAAAUUAUAAGACCUUCAUAUUCAAAAUACUGCACAACAUUUAUCCUUGUAAUUGCAAAAGUGCCAAAAUCACCUUCACUGAUGAUAAAUGUUCUUUUUCUAUGUCUGUACCUGAGACAAAAAUGUAUUUAUUAUAUUUUUGUUCUACGUCAUCUAUUUUGAAAGGAUUUCAAAAAGUGUAUCCGUGAAAGAAGAAAGCAUUCAAUUGUUAUUGGCCAAACAGUAAUAAUUGUAAAUGUUUAAUCUGAUGUUAUUGUCCUUUAGUAUUAAUCUUGUUGUUACUCCUCGCUAAGUUUUCAAAUGUUUCUUGUAGCAUUUAAUUGUAAUUCAAAUGCUCUUUAAUUUAUGAAUAACAAAAAAAACAUUGUUGUAAAUUGCAAUAUAUUUGAGAGCUUUCUUUAAAUGGCCUUGAGUAAUGUCUUUUUUUUCUUUUUUGUGGAACUGUCUUGUGUCAUUAUGAGGAGUUCAAAGUGACUUAUUUUUUUCUCUCUUAGAGUAUUUUUCUUGAACUAUAAUGCACAAUAUUGUAUUUCUGUAUUGUCUGUUUUGCAUUGUGUGAUUGUAAUUGUUUAAAUAAUAAUUUAUUUAUUUUUAAUUCUUGUUCAGGGUAGGUUGGUUAAGUCUAUCUAACGGCAAUGUAGAAUCUUCCAAGUAACUGAUAUGUCAAUUGUAAUUCCCUUUUUUUUUUUUUUUUUUUUUUGUAAAGUCUAGUUUUUGUACCAGAUUCCAACUGUAUUUUACUUCAACUUUUUUUUUAAUAUAAUGCAUAAUGACUGCAUCAUUAGAACAAUACACUGUUUGGUAGUUACUACUGCACUCAGGUCAUUUUAUCUUACAUGUAUAUACAUAUAUAUAUAUAUAUAUACAUAUAUAUAUAUAUUAGGGCUGUCAAACGAUUAAAAUUUUGAAUCGAGUUAAUUACAGCUUAAAAAUGAAUUAAUCGUAAUUAAUUGCAAUUAAAGCUAUCUAUAAAAUAUCCCAUAUUUUUCUGUAAAUUAUUGUUGGAAUGGAAAGAUAAGGCACAAGACGGAUAUAUACAUUCAACAUAGUGUACAUAAGUACUGUAUUUGUUUAUUAUAACAAUAAAUCCACAAGAUAGCAUUAACACUAUUAACAUUCUUUCUGUUAAAGGGAUCCACGGAUAGAAAGACUUGUAGUUCUUAAAAGAUAAAUGUUAGUACAAGUUAUAGUAAUUUUAUUUUAAAACCCCUCUUAAUGUUUUCGUUUUAAUAAAAUUAGUAAAAUUUUCAAUAAAAAAAUAAACUAGUAGAUCGCCGUUGUUGACGUCGCCGAGCGGUGACGUCAACAACGGCGAUCCCUGCUGUUCUUCCACUGUGUCUUGACCUAUGUAAGGUAGUGAUUGAAAUACUCCGCAAGGUGUCAAUGGCGAGUUUUAAAUUACUUAGAAAUCAAGCCAAUGAGUUUGUUUUGUCCCUCGACUGACGUUGUAAUUCCCAUCCAUUUUACUUCAUUCAUUUGAGUGCUGGCUUCACAACGUACGAGACCUCUGAUAGUUUGUAUAUUGUGACUAAAUAUUGCCAUCCAGUGUAUUUGUUGAGUUAAACUAAAUGUUUGAAUAGAGUUUGACCAAAGUCUGAGUAAGUUUUAUGUGUAUUUUGCAUAGCUAUUUUUAUUGGGAAUGCCAGUUCUCUUUGCAUUGAGUGCUUUUCUUUUUGUGAACAUCAUUUUUUAUGAGAGAUAGGAAUAUUAUUUCUGUUGUGCUUUCACUAAAUGAUAUUUAUGUUUGUUGUGAAGGAGUUGCCAAAGCUUAUGCCAAUAAACGGCGCGGUCCAAUAAACACCUGUGUCCACUCGCCUUUCUCUGCCUCUUAGCUCUCAAUGUGCAAAUAAUGGCGUCAUUGUAAUCUGUUUGAGGCAAGCGGGUCAUUCCGCGAAUGCGUUGAAUGCGUCAAAUAUUUUAACAUGAUUAAAAAAUUAAUUACCGCCCGUUAACGCGAUAAAUCUGACAGCGCUAAUAUACAGUAUAUAUACAGUAUUUUUUUUUUUUUUUUGGGUGCAUUUUUACUUGACAUCGACAUCUACAUGCAAAUUAGUUUACUUAUUGUUUGCUGCUGAUGUUUUUACUUUGCCAUUUGUUACCUAAUUAAGGUGGUAAUAUUGGUUUAUUUGCUAUCAUAGCUCUCUCUUGUGAUCAUUUAGGCAUGUCGGUCCUUAUUUAAACGGCCACAGAUACCGAUAAUUGUCUGUAGGUCACUUCGGUUGGUGCAUGUUAUUUUUAAGUUGAUCUCUUGUAGGCUGGGCCCAAAAACUUUCGUUAAACUUGUUUUUUGUGACUUUAUUAAACUGAUUUUUUUUUCCUAAGUUGAAAAAACAGUGUCCUUAUGCAUGUUUGGUCCAUUAAAAUGCAGUCACCGAAAUAUGCCACUUUUUACCUCUUCCUCAGUGAGAUGAUAUUCCACUUGAAAGUUAAAUGGCUUGGC